AUAUAUAUAUUUACCAAUGGGGUAAGUAAAAUGAACUUGAUUCAAAAGGGAAAAAAAAAUUUUUUUUACCCACUGGCAGAUUUUUGUCUUGUUUUAAGCAUAAAGUUCACUUAAUUUAGUCAGAUUCUUCUGAAAACAAGACAGUUUCUUAUGCCGUAUUGUUUGUCAAGUAAAUAUAUCUUGUUUUAUUUAAUGUUUAGAUAUUUUCACUGGAAAACAGGACAAAAUACUGAGCAAGACAAUUAUGAUUUUUGCAGUGGUAUAAAUUAUCAUAACCUUGUAUAAACAGAUUAUCUACCAGAUUUUAUGUCAUUAACAUCAGAUUGACAGAAUUAACCGCAUAUCUCAUAAAAAGAGUCAAAUUAAAUUGGGGUUCAAUUAAUGUAUUAUUCAUUUGUCACAGUUGAUUUGAUUUUGAUCAACAUUAUACAAUGAACCCUCUUCCCGUAUACACCCAGUAUUUAAUAUCAACCAAACCACAAAAUUGUAUGCACCUGGUAUUUAAAUGCAUCUCCUUUGUCCACUUGUGACUGCAUUUCUUCAAGGGGAGGGUGCAUAGGCAUGUCUGCGAUUGUCACUCGCGCACAAAUAUUAAGUCAGUAUUUUACUGCAUGUGUUUUUAGCAAACAAUAUUGGAGAUUCUGUGUGAAGUCUUGUGCAUGGGCUUUUUUAGAUUUUGAGGCACUGAUUUCAGAAGUUUAGACUAGUUUUUUAGCCUUGGUAAAGCAUCUGUGCACUGUUGUUUGUGGGAGAUGUGUGUUUGCCAGACGCACACUACAAAGUCAUUGUAUUAAUUUUGCCUAUGGGGGAAAAAUUCAGGUGAUUGUGGAUGGCUGUGAGGAUAGGUGGGGAUUCCCUCAAUGUGCCGGAGCUAUUAAUGGUUCCCAUAUCCCUGUUACUUCAUCCUGUGAUGAUUUAAAAAGACUUUUAAUAAUAAAGAAAGUAACUUCAUCAUAUUACAAGCAAUUGUAGACCACCACUUCCGUAAGUUUUCCAGUAUCAAUGUGGGAUGGACUGGCAGUGUGCAUGAUGCACAAGUGGUACGAAAAUCCACCCAGUUCCAACUGGCAAAGAAUGACAAACGUUUCCCAUUGGUGUAGGCAUCUGUCACACAGGAAUCUGAAGGUGCGCAGGUUCCUAUUAUGCUUCUUUGUGACCCUGCCUACCCUCUCUUGAGCUGGCUGAUGAAGGGAUUUCCAGACAAUUAACAUCUAAUCAGAGAAGUGAGGCACAUCAACUACUGAUUGAGCCGUGCACACAAGACUGUUGAAUGUGCCUUUGAACGCUAAAGAGGAGAUUGAGGUGUCUGCUGAAGAGGAUGGAAUUGAGCAUAUCAAGGGUUCCAACAAUUGUUAGCAGCUGCUGUGUCCUACAUAACUUUUGCGCAUCAGAGGGCGAUAACAUUUUGGAUGCUUCAAUGUAGGAAGAGGAGGAGCCAGCAGAACUGAAUGCAACCGGCAUUCCCAUGGCACUGGAGAGAGUAGAACAGCUGCUGCAUGUUUGUCAAGCAGUUGUGUGUUAUUUUUCUAGGCAAAAUGCUGACAAUUGAUGUCACUGUUUACUGUGGUGUGCUUUUUGAAGUGAAAUCAAGUACUGAAUGUCAUGAGGAAUGUGAUUUACAUAGAAAGAUCUGUGCUUUGUACAUUGGUCUAUAGUAUGCUUAAUAUUUCUCAUACACUGUAACCCAGACAUUUCAUGUCAAUUUCCUCAUUUCCUUUUGACCACAUAAACAC